GCAGAAGCACAAAUAAAAGGAUAAUUAAGGUGAUGACCCUUUGGGUCUUCACAUCCUCCACCUCUAAAACAACCGUUCAUCCUCGAAAAGACAAAAGAAAUAAGUACCUGAGUCGGGGAAUAUAUGGGGAUAACGGCUCCGCAUAUCAGACUCGGAAUCCCAGGUCAAUGCCUCAAGAGGCUGACCUAUCCACUAAACACGCACUGAAGGAAAACUACGCGACCUCAACUGUCGAACUUGCCGAUCUAAAAUAGCCAUCGGCUCCUCCUCAUAUGAUAGAUCCUUGUCCAAUUGGACAGUACUAAAUCUAACAUAUGGGCGAUGUCGCCAUGAUACUUCCGAAGCAUGGAUACAUGAAGAACCGGAUGCACGGCUGACAAGCUAGGCGGCAAGGCAUGUCUAUAAGGCACCUUCCCCACAAGGUCAAUAAUCUCAAAUGGUCCAAAUACCUAGGGCUAAGCUUGCCCUUCUUCCCGAAUAUCAUCACGCCCUUCAUAGGCGAUACACGGAGCAAUACUCGCUCACCCACCAUGAAAGCAACAUCCCUGACCUUACGAUCUGCAUAACUCUUCUGCCUAGACUGAGCUGACCGAAGUUUGUCCUGAAUGAUCUUGACCUUAUCCAAGGCCUCCAGUACCAAGUCUGUACCCAAUAACCGAGCCUCUCCCAGCUCAAACCAUCUGACUGGGGACCUACAGCGCCUACCAUACAACGCCUUAUAUGGAGUCAUCUGAAUACUGGACUGGUAGUUGUUGUUGUAGGCAAACUCUGCUAAAGGCAAGAACUGGUCNNNNNNNNNNNNNNNNNNNNNNNNNNNNNNNNNNNNNNNNNNNNNNNNNNNNNNNAACAUACGCCAAAUAUGCUAGAAACCCCAAAUUCUCUAAAGGCAAGAACUGGUCCCACGAGCCUCCAAAAUCCAUAACGCAGGCUCGCAGCAUAUCCUCAAGAAUUUGAAUAGUCCUCUCGGACUGACCGUUCGUCUGGGGGUGAAAUAUUGUACUCAGCUGGACCUGGGUGCCCAACUCAUGUUGCACUACUCUCCAGAAAUGCGAGGUAAACUGCGGACCCCGGUCCGAAAUAAUAGUUAUGGUCACCCCAUGAAGGCGAACGAUCUCCCUAAUAUAAAUAUCAGCAUACCUCUUGGAUGAAUAGGUAGUGGAAACUGGGAUAAAAUGUGAUGACUUAGUCAGCCUAUCAACAAUAACCCAUAUAACAUCAAACUUCUUCCGAGUCAUCGGAAGGCCAAUAACAAAAUCCAUGGUGAUUCUCUCCCUCUUACACUCGGGAAGAUCAAUCCACUGAAUAACCCACCGGGCCUCUGAUGCUCGUACUUAAUCUUCUGACAAUUCAAACAACGAGCCACAUAUGCAACAAUGUCUUUAUUCAUUCUGCGCCACCAAUAAUGUUAUCUUAGAUCCUGAUAUAUCUUCGUGGUUCCCGGGUGAAUAGAAUACCGAGAACUGUGGGCCUCCGCUAAGAUCGACUCUCGAAUACCAUUAACAUUGGGCACACAGACUCGCCCCUGCAACCUCAAUACGUUGUCAUCUCCCAAAGUCAUCUCCCCGGCACCUCAUCUCUGCACCGUAUCUCUCAGGACACACAAAUGGGGAUCAUCAAACUACCGCUCCCGGAUACGCUCCAUCAAUGAC
rnacentral:lncRNA from 1 species